UGGGGAAUAUUGGACAAUGGGGGCAACCCUGAUCCAGCAAUGCCGCGUGAGUGAUGAAGGCCCUAGGGUUGUAAAGCUCUUUCGGCGGGGACGAUGAUGACGGUACCCGCAGAAGAAGCCCCGGCUAACUUCGUGCCAGCAGCCGCGGUAAUACGAAGGGGGCUAGCGUUGUUCGGAAUUACUGGGCGUAAAGGGCGCGCAGGCGGCUCUUCAAGUCAGAUGUGAAAGCCCCGGGCUCAACCUGGGAACUGCAUUUGAGACUGGAGAGCUUGAGUUCGGGAGAGGAGAGCGGAAUUCCCAGUGUAGAGGUGAAAUUCGUAGAUAUUGGGAAGAACACCGGUGGCGAAGGCGGCUCUCUGGACCGAUACUGACGCUGAGGCGCGAAAGCGUGGGGAGCAAACAGGAUUAGAUACCCUGGUAGUCCACGCCGUAAACGAUGUGCGCUAGACGUUGGGAGACCUAGUCUCUCGGUGUCGCAGCUAACGCGUUAAGCGCACCGCCUGGGGAGUACGGCCG
rnacentral:rRNA from 1 species